GAGAAGCUUGCUUCUCUGAUGUUAGCGGCGGACGGGUGAGUAACACGUGGAUAACCUACCUAUAAGACUGGGAUAACUUCGGGAAACCGGAGCUAACACCGGAUAAUAUUUUGAACCGCAUGGUUCAAAAGUGAAAGACGGUCUUGCUGUCACUUAUAGAUGGAUCCGCGCUGCAUUAGCUAGUUGGUAAGGUAACGGCUUACCAAGGCAACGAUGCAUAGCCGACCUGAGAGGGUGAUCGGCCACACUGGAACUGAGACACGGUCCAGACUCCUACGGGAGGCAGCAGUAGGGAAUCUUCCGCAAUGGGCGAAAGCCUGACGGAGCAACGCCGCGUGAGUGAUGAAGGUCUUCGGAUCGUAAAACUCUGUUAUUAGGGAAGAACAUAUGUGUAAGUAACUGUGCACAUCUUGACGGUACCUAAUCAGAAAGCCACGGCUAACUACGUGCCAGCAGCCGCGGUAAUACGUAGGUGGCAAGCGUUAUCCGGAAUUAUUGGGCGUAAAGCGCGCGUAGGCGGUUUUUUAAGUCUGAUGUGAAAGCCCACGGCUCAACCGUGGAGGGUCAUUGGAAACUGGAAAACUUGAGUGCAGAAGAGGAAAGUGGAAUUCCAUGUGUAGCGGUGAAAUGCGCAGAGAUAUGGAGGAACACCAGUGGCGAAGGCGACUUUCUGGUCUGUA
rnacentral:rRNA from 1 species